AUUGAACGCUGGCGGCAUGCCUUACACAUGCAAGUCGAACGGCAGCACGGGAGCAAUCCUGGUGGCGAGUGGCGAACGGGUGAGUAAAGUAUCGGAACGUGCCCAGUCGUGGGGGAUAACGUAGCGAAAGUUACGCUAAUACCGCAUACGAUCUAUGGAUGAAAGCGGGGGAUCGCAAGACCUCGCGCGAUUGGAGCGGCCGAUAUCAGAUUAGGUAGUUGGUGGGGUAAAGGCUCACCAAGCCGACGAUCUGUAGCUGGUCUGAGAGGACGACCAGCAACACUGGGACUGAGCAACGGCCCAGCCUCCUACGGGAGGCAGCAGUGGGGAAUUUUUGGCAAUUGGCGCAAGCCUGAUCCAGCCAUGCCGCGUGCAGGAUGAAGGCCUUCGGGUUGUAAACUGCUUUUGUACGGAACGACAAGGUUUGACUUAAUACGUUGGACUCAUGACGGUACCGUAAGAAUAAGCACCGGCUAACUACGUGCCAGCAGCCGCCGUAA
rnacentral:rRNA from 1 species